rnacentral:rRNA from 1 species
UUUUUAGAUCUUCCUGGAGGAGUUUGCCACCUAACCGAUAAUCCACGAAAUACCUCUCCAACUUUUGCAAAAUCAGCAUGUAUACCAUCGUCGUCAGUCUACCUCCCAAGAGAAGUAUACUAAAAGAACCACCAUUCUUAACGUCAGAUCGAGGUGCAGCCAAUAAGCUGGGGGUUGGUGAACUACAAUAUUUUUCAAGACCACAUUCAAAUACAAUUAUGAAAAGAAUUAUGAAACUAACUCUCAAAACAGGAUUCAGCAGUAAUACCCAAAAGAAAAUUGGUAUGAAACAACAAGCUCUAAAAUGCGC